UGGUCUAGGAACAGUAGGUUAACUGGCCUAGGAACAGUGGGUUAACUGGUCUAGGAACAGUGGGUUAACUGGUCUAGGAACAGUGGGUUAACUGGCCUAGGAACAGUGGGUUAACUGGUCUAGGAACAGUAGGUUAACUGGUCUAGGAACAGUGGGUUAACUGGUCUAGGAACAGUGGGUUAACUGGUCUAGGAACAGUGGGUUAACUGGUCUAGGAACAGUGGGUUAACUGGUCUAGGAACAGUGGGUUAACUGGUCUAGGACCAGUGGGUUAACUGGUCUAGGAACAGUGGGUUAACUGGUCUAGGAACAGUGGGUUAACUGGUCUAGGAACAGUGGGUUAACUGGUCUAGGAACAGUGGGUUAACUGGUCUAGGAACAGUGGGUUAACUGGUCUAGGAACAGUGGGUUAACUGGUCUAGGAACAGUGGGUUAACUGGUCUAGGAACAGUGGGUUAACUGGUCUAGGAACAGUGGGUUAACUGGUCUAGGAACAGUGGGUUAACUGGUCUAGGAACAGUGGGUUAACUGGUCUAGGAACAGUGGGUUAACUGGUCUAGGAACAGUGGGUUAACUGGUCUAGGAACAGUGGGUUAACUGGUCUAGGAACAGUGGGUUAACUGGUCUAGGAACAGUGGGUUAACUGCCUUGUUCAGGGGCAGAAC